rnacentral:tRNA from 1 species
GUCUUGGUGGCUCAGUUGGUAGAGCAUGGUGUUUGCAACGCCAGGGUUGUGGGUUCGAUUCCCACGGGGGGCA